rnacentral:rRNA from 1 species
ACGUAGGGUGCAAGCGUUAAUCGGAAUUACUGGGCGUAAAGCGUGCGCAGGCGGUUUCGUAAGUCUGUCGUGAAAUCCCCGGGCUUAACCUGGGAAUGGCGAUGGAGACUGCGAGGCUAGAGUUUGGCAGAGGGGGGUGGAAUUCCCAGUGUAGCGGUGAAAUGCGUAGAUAUUGGGAGGAACACCGGUGGCGAAGGCGGCCCCCUGGACCGGUACUGACGCUGAGGCGCGAAAGCGUGGGGAGCAAACGGGA